rnacentral:rRNA from 1 species
UACAGAGGUCCCGAGCGUUGUUCGGAUUCAUUGGGCGUAAAGGGUGCGUAGGCGGCGGGGAAAGUCUGAUGUGAAAUCCUGGGGCUCAACCCUGGAACUGCAUUGGAUACUUCCUUGCUAGAGUACUGGAGAGGAAACUGGAAUUUACGGUGUAGCAGUGAAAUGCGUAGAGAUCGUAAGGAAGACCAGUGGCGAAGGCGGGUUUCUGGACAGUUACUGACGCUGAGGCACGAAGGUCAGGGGAGCAAACCGGGAGUUAGAA